rnacentral:rRNA from 1 species
AGGGUAGCAAUACCGCUGACGACCGGCGCACGGGUGAGUAACGCGUAUGCAACCUGCCUAUAACUGGGGAAUAGCUCCCUGAAAGGGGGAAGUUAACACCGCAUAACACUAUUGAUUCGCAUGGAUUAGUAGUUAAAUGUAGCGAUACAGGUUAUAGAUGGGCAUGCGUGACAUUAGCUAGUUGGUGAGGUAACGGCUCACCAAGGCUACGAUGUCUAGGGGUUCUGAGAGGAAGGUCCCCCCACACUGGUACUGAGACACGGACCAGACUCCUACGGGAGGCAGCAGUGAGGAAUAUUGGUCAAUGGGCGCAAGCCUGAACCAGCCAUGUCGCGUGCAGGAAGAACCUGCCCUAUGGGUUGUAAACUGUCUUUUAUAGUAGAAGAAACACAUCUACGUGUAGAUGUCUGCCAGUAUACUAUGAAUAAGCAUCGGCUAACUCCGUGCCAGCCGCCGC